UGGGGGAUAUUGCACAAUGGGGGAAACCCUGAUGCAGCAACGCCGCGUGAAGGAAGAAGGUCUUCGGAUUGUAAACUUUUGUCUUGCGGGACGAAUAAUGACGGUACCGCAGGAGGAAGCCACGGCUAACUACGUGCCAGCAGCCGCGGUAAUACGUAGGUGGCGAGCGUUGUCCGGAAUUACUGGGUGUAAAGGGUGCGUAGGCGGAUUUGCAAGUCAGGUGUGAAAACUAUCGGCUUAACCGGUAGCCUGCACUUGAAACUGUAAGUCUUGAGUGGUGAAGAGGUAAGCGGAAUUCCUAGUGUAGCGGUGAAAUGCGUAGAUAUUAGGAGGAACACCAGUGGCGAAGGCGGCUUACUGGGCACUAACUGACGCUGAGGCACGAAAGCAUGGGGAGCAA
rnacentral:rRNA from 1 species